GAUGAACGCUGGCGGCGUGCCUAAUACAUGCAAGUCGAGCGAACGGACGAGAAGCUUGCUUCUCUGAUGUUAUCGGCGGACGUGUGAGUAACACGUGUAUAACCUACCUAUAUGACUGGUAUAACUUCGGGAAACCGGAUCUAAUACCGGAUAAUAUUUUGAACCGCAUGGUUCAAAAGUGAUUGACGUUCUUUCUGUCUCUUAUAGAUGGUUCCGCGCUGCAUUAGCUAGUUGGUAAGGUAACGGCUUACCAAGGCAACGAUGCAUAUCCGACCUCAGAGGGUGAUCGGCCAGACGGGAACUGAGACACGGACCAGACUCGUACGGGAGGCAGCAGAAGGGAAUAUUCCGCAAUGGGCGAAAGCGUGACGGAGCAACGCCGAGUGAGUGAUGAAGGUCUUCGGAUCGUAAAACUCUGUUAUUAGGGAAGAAAAUAUGUGUAAGUAACUGUGCACAUAUUGACGGUACCUAAUCAGAAAGCAACGGCUAACUACGUG
rnacentral:rRNA from 1 species